rnacentral:lncRNA from 1 species
GAAGAGCAGUUAGAUCAUGGACUCCUACCUUUUCUCCUUGGUAACACCAUUGCUAUGAAGGAGAACAUUUUUUACUUAUGAGACCAAAGCCAGCCUUUCUCUUCUUUGUUUUUGAUUCUCUGCUCCAUCUCACCACAGGAGACUCUUCCAGUGUGCAUCAAGGCUGGCUGAACCCAGCUGGCUGUACUGAGUUUUCAGAGUGACUUGGACACUGGGGACAAUCUGGCUCAUUUACCAGCAUCUGAUUUUUUGGCCCAAAGAACAAAAUCUCAUAAACAGCAUUUACAAAGGCUCAGUUUUCCAGGGUAUCAAGCUUUGUGGCAACCUUCUUCUUGGAAAAGACACAGUGUUUUCGCCUUAGUCCAGCUCAUCAUUACAUUGACAACACUUCCUUUUGUAAGGACUGACUGGAAUUUAACUGAAAAAUAAGAGCAAAAGGGAAAAAGAAAAAUUCUAAAUAAUCCAAAUGGGGUUGGAGAAAAAAACUAAAUAGCAAAUCUCUCUAACAAAUUCAAUAAUACAAACUCCUGAACCCAAUUUUCUAAAAUAAACACUUAAGAAUCUAUGAGUGCUUAAUCAAUUGAAUUCCAGUCCCAUUGAAGUCAUUAAUAUAUAAUAACAAAUACCAAAUGUCUUCUUUGAUAUAAGGAGAGCAACUAAGAACAGAGCAGGGAGGAAGAGCAGGAAGAAAAGAUUAACAUUAAACAGAUACAUGAGGUGGGAUGGAAAG